UUUCUGUUACAGCAGCACUGUAGCUCUAACAGAUACCUAAAAUGUGGAAGUGGUUUUGAAACUGUUGGAUAGUUGUGACAGCAGCAGAGGACCAGCACAGCAGAGAACCAGCAGCAGCAGAACUAGGAGACCAGAGUGAGACAACACUGAAGCCGACCCAUGGAGCCAGAUUGCUGAGUGCCUGUGCACAGUAGGCUUCCUGGUGGAGUGGGGUGCCUCCGGGCACUUAUCAGCUGAGCUACAGAGCUUUGGAACACUUGCCCCAGCAGGGCAGAUGCGGGUGUGAGGCCCAAAGAGCCCAGAGGCCAAGAAACCAGGAAACAGAAGCUGAAGAGACAAGGAACACAGGAAGCCAAGCUGCCUCAGUCUCAAAAGUUCAUGAACCGUGGAACGUCUGGUCUGGAAGUCAGACAAGAUUCAGAAGCGUGGUACAAGAGAAAAGGGCUUUUGUAACAGCAUACACAAAGGAGCAAGACAUUAUGCUGGGCAAAUUUCAGAGUGGCUGGCAGGCAUUUUCUUUCUUUAUUUUGGAAUAUGAGGAAAUUUUCAAAUAGGUUAAAUUGAGCAAGCAAGUCUUGAUUGGCUAGCCUAUGUUUCCCUGUCCUGGAGAGUCGAUUGACUUGGAUUUCGGCUUCUGGGAAAGUUAGGCAUUUACGAGAAAAAGAAAUAGGUUUCAGUUUGCUGACGUGAGGCUCAACACGAGUGACUCCAUUUUGGGUGUAGUUUAGUUUGGUUAACAGUAGUCAUUUCUAAACUAUCCCACUGAAAUUUGGGAAUACAUUCAGAGGAGCACCCGGUUUGAACAGAGCACUUGGCUCUACUGAGGGCAUCCAGUCUGGGGUGAGGAACCUGCAGCCAGAGUACCUUGGCUUGUGCUGCCUGCAGUAGGGGGCCUGACAGUAGCCCCACUGAUUCUUGCUACUUUUGACAAAUCAGCUUGUCAACCAGAAGUGACCAUAACCAGUUUAGACCACACCCAGCUGCUUCCACCUGAAAUUAUAAACUUUACUUAUUUGGGAUUUUCCAAACCCACAUUCCUUUGAAACUUCCUCAUGGCAAAGCCAAGAACCCUUACACCUAUUACAAAUGAAAAAAAGGACAUGUGGCUCAACCAUAAAUUUAUCCCCCCCUGAAAAGACCCCCUUUGCUUAAAUGACACCUUUUCAGAACCUCAUCUCUUUUUUCUCCAACCAGCUUUCUCAAAAUAUCUUAGAAAAAGAGAUUGCUAUCUUUCUCAGGGUUUCCUCGGUGGCACUUGACUACUAACCAAAAGGUUCACAGUUGAACCCACCUAAAUGUACCUCGGAAGACAGGUUUCUGAAAGGUCACAGGCCUGAAAACCCUAUGGGGCACAGUUCUCUGCACACAUGGGGUCUCCCUGAGUCAGAUCUCGAGGGCAACUAACAACAUCUUUCUCAAAUCGAAGUCCUUGGUCUCCUGUUGAAUGCCAGGUUUCCUUCCUGCAGCAAUUUGGUCCACUCUCAAAUAAAACGUUUGUUCAAAUUUUUAUAACUCAGUGUCAGAAUCUGCCAUUUAACAAGCCCUAGAAAAUACUGAAAUUGUCAAAGGGUUCAUUUUACUUGGAUGCACAAUCAACACCCGUGGAAGCAGCAGUCAAGAACUCAAACGAGGACGUGUUGUAUUGGGAAAUUCACUGCAAAAGACCUCUUUCAAGUGUUAAAAAGCAGAGAUGUCACUUUGAGGACUAAGGCACACCUGAUCCAAACUCUGAUAUUUUCAAUUGCCUCAUAUACGUGGGGAAGCUGGACAAUGAAUAAGAAAGACUGAAGACAAAUUGAUGCCUUUGAAUUACGGUGUUGGCAAAGACCGUGGACCACCAUAAGAAUGAGCAAAUCUGUCUUGGAAGAUGUACACCCAGAAUGCUCCUUAAAAAUGAGGACGUUUCUGAGAUGGGGGCUUUCAUGCUGGAAGUGUCUCAGAGAGUGAAGGAAGUAGGAUUGGACAGAAGAGGGAUGUGAUGCCGUUGCCACAAAGUCCUCAGCCAGUCUUGCAGAGAGUUCUGGAGCUGGGCUGACCCCCUAAGAGUUGUCCCACCUUUUAUAUUCCACUUGCCCCUGGUGAGGUGAUUCUUUUGGACUGAAGGCAAAUCUUGGAGAGACAUCCGUCACCAACACUCCCAGAAGUUGGAGGCAUGAGUGCCUCAGUUCUGGGACAGCAUCUAGGCUUCACAGCAUGAAUCCACUACACCUAUCCUUCAUUCCCUGCAUUUACAUUUUAGCAUAGGUUGUUCCUCCCACCUAAAAUAUUUUACCCUCUAUGUGCACACUGAAAGCUAUCAGUGCGGCUCAGCUCAAAAUGCUACCACAUUCUUGAAGCUUCCCUGUACUUCCCUGCUAGGAAUAGUACCUGAAGACAUAGUAGAGAUAGCAAUGACCUUGGUGUCACGGAGAUCUGGGUUUGAAUUCGAGGUUAAAGGGACUUUGGAAAAGUCUGACUGGAGCUAUUGAGACAAAAAUUAUUGCAAGGACUAACUGAGAUAAUCAUUAAUCAAUGAUCUUAUGACAUUUUAUUUCCAGCUUUUACUUUCUCUGAAAUUUCUGUGGUUAAGGGGCAAAAUAAAAAUAAUUAGGAUGGUAUAGUGAUUUUUUGUCUAAGUUUACUCAACUUAAAAUGCUAUUCUUUAUUCUGAGAUAAUAUUGUUUCUCCUUUUAUGAAAUUAAAAAAAAAAUUUAUGAAAAGCUGGUAACAACAGGUUUUCCUCAUAACUUUAUAGUGGUUUAAUUUAUGUAGCAAUGAAUUUUUAAAAUAACCCUAGUUAGGAAAAUAAAAUCUUGGCAUAUAUAUAUAAUUAAGAAAAUAUUAUUGGUCCCUGAAAUUCAAAAACAUGUGAGUAUUUCUACUGUGCUUUAACACCCUAAUUCAUGUGCACGCACACACACACACACACACACACACACCAUGUAUAUAUUAACUCCUGUUGGUAAGGAUCAAUUACUUGUUCCCCCCAAAAAACCAAACCAAACCCACUGCGGUUGAGUCGAUUCCAACUCAUAGCAACCCAACAGGACAGAGUAGAACUGCCCCAUAGAGUUUCCAAGGGGCGCCUGGUGGAUUUGAACUGCCGACCUCUUGGUUAGCAGCUGUAGCACUUAACUACUACACCACCAGGGUUAGCACCUAUAAAAAACCAGUUGCUGUUACUUAAAAAAUAUAUUAAAUAAGUAAUAUUGUUGUUAGGCUCUGUUGAGUUGGUUCCGACUCACAGCGAACCCAUGUGUGUCAGAGUACAACUGUGCUCCACAGGGUCUUCAGUGGCUGAUUUUUCAGAAGUAGAUCAUCAGGCUUUUCUUCCGAGGUGCCUCUGGGUGGAUUCAAACCUCUAACCUUUUGUUGGCAGCUGAGCAUGUUGACUUUUGAGCCUCCCAGGGACUUAGCACCUAUAUUUAAAAAAAAAAAAACCUGCGGUCAAGUCGAUUCCAACUCAUAGAGACCUUACGGGACAGAGUAGAGCUGCCCCAUUGGGUUUCCAGGGAGCAGCUGGUGGAUUCAAACUGCCAGUCUUUUGGGUAGCAGCCAAGCUGUUAACCACUGCACCACCAGGGCUCCUAGACCCUAUAAAAAAAAAUAGACCCCCAUAAUAUAGAAAGUAUUUAAAUUAAUGCUGUUAGAAAAACAUAGAUGAAAUAUAGUCUCUGCUCUGAAAGAGCUUAAAAUUAUUCAACUGUUGAAAAGCUAAAUAAUAAAUCAAAUAACGUUUUUUGUUUGUUUUUAAAAAAGGAGAUCUGCAAGAAACAGUUUAGAUCGACUAUGUAAUUGCAACUGAACUUUCUGAAAGUACCACAAAAAUUCACAGUAAAGUUGAUCACCUCAGGUCAUCCAGGCUCCAAGGAUGGACAAGGUAUAGAUGGUAAACUCCCCAAUUAGUAGGAAGCUGAUCUGGUUUAAUUUUCUAUCCUACAUACUCCUUAAAACAUACUAGACCCUCAGUUAAAAAAAAAAAUAGAUAUAUAUGCAUUACUUCUAUUAUACUAUGUUUAUUAUAUUAUUAUGUUAUAUAUAUGUAUGUAUUUAAGUAAAUGCUAAGUGGGUAAGUUGGCUAGAUGGAGAAGAAUGGUUAAAGGAUUCCAGAGGGGUGGCAGAAUAUGUGGAAAACCACAGAAGUCAUAGAGUUCAAGACAUGCUGGGAGGUUGGAGAGAAAGUCCAUUUGGUGGAAGUGAAACACUUUUACAGGAGCUAUGGGAACAGAAAGGGUGAGAGGACCAGUGACAGAAGGUAGGGUGGGGGAGAUGAUAAAAAACCAAACCAAACCAAACUCUUUGCCGUCGAGUCAUUCAGACCCAUAGCAACUCUAUAGGACAGAGUAGAACUCCCUCAUAGUGUUUCCAAGGAGCACCUGGUGGAUUCGAAUUGCUGGCCUUUUGGUUAGCAGCGGUAGCUCCUAACCACUACACCACCAGGGUUUCCAGGGGAGAUGGUAGCAAGCCUUAAAUAGUAGAUUUUAGAUUGUACCUGUUUGGAAUGAGGAGAACACAUAAGACCCAAAUGAGGAAAGACCUUUCUGAACACAUUUGUGCCAAGACCCAGGACUUACAUGGGUUAAGUUCACAUUCCUCAGCCAGAUUCCAUUCUUUAAAUUUUCAAGUCUCUGUUCAACCCUUAAUCUUCUUGUUUUCCCAUGCCCCUGUGUGUUUGCUAUACACACUGGCAAACCCCCUUCCCAAGUGAAAUUAAUCUUCCGAUAUUCUCAAAGCACUUGGUUUAAUCCACAGUGAUAGCCCUUGUUGGUUUUCCUUUUGUUGUGAGUUUUGAGUAGAUGUCUCAGGCACCAGAUUGUAUGCCCCUAGAGAACACAGACAAUGUCUUGUUCAUCUUUAUAUCCACCCCUUCCUAUACUCGGUACAGAGGAGUAUUUAGUAAAUGUUACUUAAAAUUAUUUUUUUCUUGUUUUAAACUAGUGAAAAUGCCGCAUGCUGUUUCCCCUUACAAGCUGAAUGAAUACUCGUUACAAGUAGAUCCAACAUAAAAAGUUGCUUAAUGGAUAGUAAACGGCAUAGUCAUAUAAAUUCCUCUGCUUGAAGAAUUAUUUCUACCUGGAUCACAAGGUGUUUUUGAUUCAACUAACAUAAAUAGUUAUGUCAAGUCUUGGAAAUGUUUGUCAGGGGUGAACAAAAAUGUGUAUUUUUUAACUGGGGUAUUCCAAGUUUCUUAAUUUUUUUUUGCUUUGAAAAAUAAAUAUUAAGGUACUUGUCACGUAUUUGCAAAUGUUUUCCCGGUUUGUCAUUUUCUCCUGUAAUUUUGUUUGACAAUUGUUUGACAUACAGAAGUUUUAAAUUGUUUAUGGUUUCACAUUUAUCAAUCAUUUUUUUAAUAUUUUCUCCUUCUGGUUUUAUGUAAUUAUACAGGCGAGUUCAUUUGCUGAAAAUUCACCCAGCACACUUACGACCUGUGCAUUUUUCCAUAUGUAGGCUACAUUUCAACGAAAUUUACCACAAAUAGUGAAGAUCUUUUCUAGUCUACACACACCCACAUACAAAGAUUUAUUCUUCUGAUUAUUUCAUUUCAUUUUUUACUCUUUUAUCUACUUGGAUAUGCAGUUGUAAAGUAAAACAACCAAAUGCACUUUUCCAAAUUGUCAACUAAUUUUAGCAAAACCAACUGUUUUUUAAUAUAGAUAAAUUAAUAGCUGGCUUUAUUUUGUUUUGUUUUCUUACCUCAGCAUUCUCAUUUGCAAAAUGAAUAAAAUGGAUUGAUUUCUUGGCAUUUCUCUGUGUCUAUAAUUUUUAUAAUUUAGUGACAUAGAUGUUACCUGUGUAUCAGGGUUGUAUCCUUUUACCACACUUAGUCUGUAUGCUGAGCAAAUAAUCUGAGAAGCUGGACUAUAAGAAGAACGCAGCAUCAGGAUUGGAGGAAGACUCGCUAACAACCUGCAAUAUGCAGAUGACACAGCCUUGCUUGCUGAAAGCGAAGAGGGCUUGAAGCACUUACUAACGAAGAUCAAAGACUAUAGCCUUCAAAAUGGAUUACACCUUAAUGUGAAGAAAACAAAAAUCCUUACAACUAGACCAAUAAGCAACAUCAUGAUACACGGAGAAAAGAUUGAAGUUGUCAAGGAUUUCAUUUUACUUGAACCCACAAUCAAAGCCCAUGGAAGCAGCACUGAAGAAAUCAAAUUAUCUAUUGUAUCAGGCUAAUCUGCUUCAAAAGAUCUCUUAAAAGUGUUAAAAAAAAAAAAAAUGUCACUUUGAGGACUAAGAAAUGCCUGACCCAAGCCAUUGUGUUUUCAAUUGCCUCAUAUGCAUGCAAAAGCUGGACAAUAAAUAAGGAAGACAGAAGAAGAAUUGAUGAAUUUAAAUUAUGGUGUUGACAAGGAAUAUUGACUAUACUGUGGACUGCAAGAAGAAUGAACAAAUCUGUCUCUGAAGAAGUACAGCCAGAAUGCACCUUAGAAGCAUGGAUGGAGAGACUACAUCUCACAUACUAUGGACUUGUUAUCAGGAGGGAUCAGAGCCUGGAGAAGGACAUCAUGCUAGGUAAAGUGGAGGGCCAGCGAAAAAGAGGAAGACCCUCAAUGAAAUGGAUUGACACAAUGGCUGCAAAAAUGGGCUCAAGCAUAACAAUUCUGAGGAUGGUUCAGGACCAGGCAGUGUUUUGUUCUGUUUAUGUAGUGUCUCUAUGAGUUGGAACCGAUUCGACAAGACCUAACAACAACAAGAAACAUAAAUGUUAGAAAGUAACCUAUGGUGAUUUAAAACCAUAAAGAGGGGGCAACCCUGAAAGAAAAUACAGUAACCAUACAUCUAACAAGUCCAGAGAUAUGUAAAUAACCAACCUAUUAAUGGCAGUUGUUUUCAUAUUAGUAAAGGUCGUGAUAUUUAAAAAAAGGUGAAAAUAAAAGUAGAGAAGCUAUUUAUUCUAGACUUCUAAGAUAAAUAGUUCAGUAAAAAAGUUUUCAAAGAAGUAAAUCCAGCCAUAUCAGCAGCAGAGAAGGUCUUUAUUUUGUGGGUAAGCUGGCAUCUGCUCCUACCUCUGGUAAUGGAAUAUCCGUUUGGCCUCAUAGUUCCUGCCCCUCCACAUGUCCCUUCAUCAGCUCCUGAUAUUAACCUUGGAAGCAAUGCAGCCUUUGACCUAGUUAGAUACAGUAGGCUCUGGUAAUUGUAUUAACAUUAUCAAAGCUAUCAAGUCAAUUAUUAGUUGCCCUUGAGCUCUUUCUGUAAUGGACACAUUCAUAGAGUAAGUUUUGGUAUUUAAGUCUUUAAUCAGAAACUGAAUCCAGUGGAGCUCAGCAUAGGAGCAUGCUGGAGGUAAUUUUACUCAUUAUCACGGAAUCACUACUCCUUCCAAUGCUUCUCAAGGUCUCCUGGCUGGAGGAGUAAAUAUUUCUAUCACUUAGAGUAAUAUAGGAAACCCCCUGGUGGUGUAGUGGUUAAAUGCUAUGGCUCCUAACUAGAAGGUUGGCAGUUCAAAUCCACCAUGUGCUCCUAGGAAACCCUAUGGGGCAGUUCUACUUUGUCCUAUAGGGUCACAGCAGUGGGUUUGUUUGUUUGGUUUUAUAUCUAUGCACGUAAUACCAUUUGGGAACAGGGCUUUCUUUUAUGUUAAUAAGGUCACAUCAUUGUAGGGUGUAUUUUAAGCCAAUUACUUUUGAGGUAUAAAAGGAACAGAUUAGUUACAGA